rnacentral:tRNA from 1 species
GUUCCAAUAGUGCAAUGGAUAGCGCGUUGGACUUCUAAUCCAAAGGUCGUGGGUUCGAAUCCCAUCUGGGAUG